UCCCACUGGCAAUGAGCAAAGAGACACCAUUGGUGGUGGUGUUUUUAUAUCAGUCAGGGGCAGUGCAGAUGGCAGUGCCUUGUUCAUCCUAGCUUGUUGCCUGGCUUGGUGACCAAAGCUAUUUUAUGCCUAGGACUCAUAA